UCAUUUCCUGUCCGCACCGUAGACUAGUUCAAAAAAUAUCCUUCCCCUCGCAGUCUGACAGAGGUCUAAGGUUUGGUGGGGUUUUAUUUUUUGCUUUCCCCUCCAGCCAGGACCCUUCACGACCUGAUGGCAGAGCUUGUUAGCAUAUAGGUGGUUUAACCGCUCCCAGCUGAGCCCUCAGCCCCAGACAACCACAGCCAUUGUCAUGGAUCAGAGAGAUCUCAGCCACAGACCUUGUGCUCCUGACUCAUGGGCUUCCCAGAGAGACCGCAGGUUGGCUGCCAACACCCUGAAGACAGCAAGGCUGCCCAGUCCCCCAACGCCUGCCAAGGACAGAUUCUACCUGCAACGUGGACCCAGAGAGUCAUUCUCGAACAAAGGAACCCCAGAGGCCUGAACUUACUCAGAAUUGACUUCUGCGUCCUUCUAUUAUUGGGACUGACAUUUGAAGUAGGUUGAAGCCAUACAAUUUUGCUAUUUAGAGGAUUCAGCUUAAGGUAACGGUCAAGUUGCAUAAUUCAAGAUGAAAGGGUUUGGGGCUUCCCUGGCGGUACAGCAUUUAAGAAUCCACCUGCCAGUGAAGAGGAAAUGAUUUUGAUCCCUGGCCCGGGAAGAUUCCACCUACCACCCAGCAACUAAGCCAGUGCGGAACAACCACUGAUUCUGAUGCUGCAGCUACUGGAGCCUGCGUGCCUACAGUGUGGUCUGCAGCAAGAGAAGCCACCACAAGAGAAGCCCGUGCUCGGCAAUGAGGAGUACCCUCUGCUCACUGCAACUAGAGAGAGCCUGCCUGUAGCAGUGAAGACCCAGUGCAACCAAAAAGAAAUAAACAAGUUUUUAAAAAAGAAAAACCAAAGCCUUAUGUCAUGAGACUUUUUCUGUUUUCUUCACUCACCUCC
rnacentral:lncRNA from 1 species